UACGAGGGGUGCAAGCGUUAAUCGGAAUUACUGGGCGUAAAGCGCGCGUAGGCGGCUGCUCAAGCCAGAUGUGAAAUCCCCGGGCUUAACCUGGGAACUGCAUUUGGAACUGGGCAGCUAGAAUACAGCAGAGGAGUGUGGAAUUUCAGGUGUAGCGGUGAAAUGCGUAGAUAUUACACAGAAUACCGGUGGCGAAGGCGGCCUCCUGGAUCUGUACUGACACUGAGGUGCGAAAGCGUGGGUAGCGAACAGG
rnacentral:rRNA from 1 species